rnacentral:rRNA from 1 species
UGGGGAAUUUUGGACAAUGGGGGAAACCCUGAUCCAGCCAUCCCGCGUGUGCGAUGAAGGCCUCCGGGUUGUAAAGCACUUUUUGCAGGAAAGAAACGUCAUGGGUUAAUACCCCGUGAAACUGACGGUACCUGCAGAAUAAGCACCGGCUAACUACGUGCCAGCAGCCGCGGUAAUACGUAGGGUGCAAGCGUUACUCGGAAUUACUGGGAGUAAAGCGUGCGCAGGCGGUUCGGAAAGAAAGAUGUGAAAUCCCAGAGCUCAACUUUGGAACAGCAUUAUUAACUAUCAGGAUAGAGUGUGUCAGAGGGGGGGGGAAUGCCGCGUGUAGCAGUGAGAGGAGUAGAUAUGCGGAGGAACACAGAGGACGAAGGGAGCCUCCUGGGAUAACACUGACGAUCAUGCACGAAAGCGUGGGGAGCAAACAGG